rnacentral:rRNA from 1 species
GAUGAACGCUGGCGGCGUGCCUAAUACAUGCAAGUCGAGCGAACAGACGAGGAGCUUGCUCCUCUGACGUUAGCGGCGGACGGGUGAGUAACACGUGGAUAACCUACCUAUAAGACUGGGAUAACUUCGGGAAACCGGAGCUAAUACCGGAGAAUAUAUUGAACCGCAUGGUGCAAUAGUGAAAGACGGUUUUGCUGUCACUUAUAGAUGGAUCCGCGCCGCAUUAGCUAGUUGGUAAGGUAACAGCUUACCAAGGCAACGAUGCGUAGCCGACCUGAGAGGGUGAUCGGCCACACUGGAACUGAGACACGGUCCAGACUCCUACGGGAGGCAGCAGUGGGGAAUCUUCCGCAAUGGGCGAAAGCCUGACGGAGCAACGCCGCGUGAGUGAUGAAGGUCUUCGGAUCGUAAAACUCUGUUAUUAGGGAAGAACAAAUGUGUAAGUAACUAUGCACGUCUUGACGGUACCUAAUCAGAAAGCCACGGCUAACUACGUG